GCCGGAUGCAGCACGCCGCGUGCGGGAAGACAGCCCUAGGGUUGUAAACCGCUUUCAGUAGGGAAGAAAAUGACGGUACCUACAGAAGAAGGUGCGGCCAACUACGUGCCAGCAGCCGCGGUGACACGUAGGCACCAAGCGUUAUCCGGAUUUAUUGGGCGUAAAGAGCUCGUAGGCGGUUUGGUAAGUCGGGUGUGAAAACUCAGGGCUUAACCCUGAGACGCCACCCGAUACUGCCAUGACUUGAGUACGGUAGGGGAGCGGGGAACUCCUGGUGUAGCGGUGAAAUGCGCAGAUAUCAGGAAGAACACCGGUGGCGAAGGCGCCGCUCUGGGCCGUAACUGACGCUGAGGAGCGAAAGCGUGGGUAGCAAACAGGAUUAGAUACCCUGGUAGUCCACGCCGUAAACGUUGGGCACUAGGUGUGGGUCUCAACUAACGAGAUCCGCGCCGUAGCUAACGCAUUAAGUGCCCCGCCUGGGGAGUACGGUCGCAAGACUAAAACUCAAAGGAAUUGACGG
rnacentral:rRNA from 1 species